GAAAAAAAAUGGGUGUCCGGAGUUCUGAAAUAUACUGUAUCUAUUAUCAUAAACUCAGCAUUAGUGGCAAUAGUAAAAAUUGCCCUGUUAUAUUAUAGGCUGGAUUUCUUAUUUGAAAAAGUUGCUGGUAGCCAAGGUUAAUGAUCCAAUUAGCAUCAUUUGUUGAUUAUCUACUUAUAUCAAAGAUCAGCAGUCGUUUAACAAGAUGAACACAAUAACUUGAUUCAUACUAGAGUGAAAAGAUAAAGUUUGUGAACUUAUUACAGCUAUUCAUAUUCCUACAACACUGUAACUUACUAUGUGAUAGGAACUUCAUCUAAGUCCUAAUAAUAAAGAAAUUAAACAAUACAAAAACUAUGUCAUAGCUGUAUCGAACAUUCUGAGCCAAGAUUCACAAUCAUUGCUGGAAAAGGUAACACUGGAAAUUGAUAUAACCUACUUUAGCAGCUAUGACUUCAGCCAAAUGUUUCCCAUACUGUACCUUUUGAUCAAACCUAUAUAUCAGUGUAGAGGUACUUUAGCCCAUUCCUCUUUGUGAUAUCUCUCAACUCAUUGUUGUUAUGGGGCUGUCUUGUAUGAAUUGCUCACUUUGGGUCAUGCCAUAAUAUUUUGAUUAGAUUAAGUCCCAUUUGGACUAUUGCAAUGCACUCUACACAAGGCUACACUUGAAAAAUAUCCAGCAGCUUCAGCUGAUUCAAAACGUGGCCAAGGGGAAAUUCUAGGUGUUCAAAGAAAGGUGCAUGCAAUGCCUCUGUUCUGUGAAUUACAUUGGGUGCCAGUUUGCUUCUAGGUCCAGUUCAAGAUGUUGGUUGUGACUUUUAUGUCCUACAUGGCAUGGGCCAGGCUAGCUACAAAACAUCUUUGUCCCAUUACAUCAUCCCAUCUCACCCGGUCAGGCAGGGAAGGUAUAUUGCAGAUCUUUUCGGUUCAAGAACUGUGAUUGGCAGGGUUUAGAAAUACAGCAUUCUCUACUAUUGGCCCCACCCUAUGAAAUCUAUUUCCCCUGGAGGUGAAAUAGGCCCCCACUCUCCUGGCCUUUCAAAAAAGAAUUAACACAUGUUCUGAGGCUCAGAGAAGCAUGCGGUCAUAGGGCUGGUUAGUCCUCUGAAAGCUCUCCCUUCACCUUUUAACUAAUUUUAAUAGCAUUUAAUCACUCUUGCCUCUUUCCGAUUUUUAACUUUUAUAUUUUAACAUUUUACUGUACAUUGCCCAGAUCCCUCUAAGGUAGAUGCAUGGUUCAGAAAUAAAAUAAAAUAAAGUAAAAUAAAAUAAAAUAAAAUAAAAUAAAAUGAAAUGAAAUAAUAAAAUAAAUAAAAUAAUAAAAAUAAAAUAAAUAAUAAAAUAAAAUGAUAAAAUAUAAUAAAAUAAUAAAAUAAAAUAAUUGUCUUAGCUAUACCAUAUUGUUAGUACCCUGAAGUAACAGACUAUGGUAGAAGAAUUUUAGAGAUUUAUAUGGACACUUUGAAAAGCACAAUUAAAAUGAAUGCUAUAAUUAUUACUACUGUAUACAUGAAAAAAAAUGGAAAAUGAGUUUAUAAUGCUAUAAGAAUGUGGAAAAAUGGUAAAGUUGCAGGAUGGCAUAACAGAGAAAUUAUUUAAAAAAUUGAUGAAGUUAACAUAACAUGGCUGUGCAACGACAAUAUGUGCAUCUACGUAUGAUAAAUGGAAGAAUGCUGUUAUUGUUUCCCUAUAAAAAGGGAAAGUAGAAAGAGUGAAGGCAAAAACCACAGAGGGGUUUGUUUGUUAAUGUGCCUGGGAACAUAAAUGGCAGAAUUUGAUUCAGAGAAUAUAAUAGAAAAGAAAAAAAUUGAGAAGAGCACAAAGUCAGAAGUAUUGUAGCGGUUAGGUGAUCAAGGACUGGACAGAUCCUGGUUCAUGUCCUUUUCAGCCAUGGAAACUAAGUUUAUAUUAUUUGUUAAAUUUAUAUGCCGCCUAUCUUACUGACAAAGCAACUCUGGCUUAGUUUAGUUUAGUUUAGACUACCUAUUUUCCCUCAGUAAAAUCCCAAUGGAUUAUUGUGUAUAUGUGUGUGCAUAUGUGUUUUUGUGUGUAUAUGUGUGUGUAUCUAUAUAUAUGUUGUGUGUGUGUGUGUGUGUGUGUGUGUGUGUGUGUGUGUAUGGAAUGCUAUGUACAAUGUCUACGCAGCAUACAAAUAUAAGCACAAAUUACAAAAUUCAAGUGUAGAAAACAAUUGUGAAACCUUAUUUCCAGCACUGAAGACUUAGAAAGCCAAGUUCCUAUGCCUUGUUUUGUCAACUAUCAUAGCAUAAAAACUUGUCCUGAGUAGGAUUCUAACUCUGAAAUAAGCUCUUACUUCUAAAGAGAACUUAAUCUUUAGGCAUGCCCAAACCUGCAGAUAUGCAGGUUACUAGCACUUGGAGUGCCUUCUAUCUUUCCUUCUUAGUCAAGUGAAAAUCCCUUUUUCUCAUGAUUCUCCAGAUCUGGACCUAUGCUUCCCAAGUUUCUCUGCUCUCUGCAUUUCUUUCUCAUCCUCUGACAAUACUUUUCAAGAGGAGGCAUAACGUCAGGACACAGAAGUCAUAAUAAACUAAUUGUAAACUAUUAAUCCAUUUGUCACUUUCAGCCUUCUUUCAAGUUGAAAAGUUAGAUGAAAAUUAACCCUCUAUUCAAAUCCUGUAAAAAUUAUCUUCUGACCUUUGAAAAGCAUGAAAUUCUCUUAGCAAAACAUGCUAAUUUUUGUUUAUAAAUUACAAACAUCAAUGCAAUGAAUGUUGCCAGGAAAAUCCAUGGCAAUGUUGAAUAUAUCAUUUUGGAUUAAAAAAAAAUGAGCAUAGUCUCUCCAAAAAUAGGCCAUAACAAGCAGUCACGCUUGCACAAUACAAAAUGAACAAAAUUGAUUUCAUGUAGUACAAUCAUAAGAGCAUUAAUCAUAUCAAAUAUUUCCUCAAAAGCUUGGCAAAAAAUUGAUAGGGAUUUCUCUGUCUAAAUCUGAGCUACAUAUUGAGUUAUAAACAAGUAAUCAGAAGUUAGUAAACACAGCCUAAUUCAUAGGCAAAAAUGAACAAAAUGCAUGUGUACGCAUGUAUUUGGGUGUGCAGCAUUAAUGUUACUUUAAAAGCAGCACAUAAACUCUCAAAACUUAAUGAGAUUCUUAAUAAUAAGAAUAUUAAUAAUGUCACAUUAACAAAGCAUUAAUCAGAAGUUAUAAAAUAUGAAAUUUGCCUAUGAGGUUGAGUUUUUGUUUAUUUGAUCUGAAUGAUAAUAACAUCAGAAAAAGUCACUUCAGAAUGAGAUGCUCCAGAAAAAGUGAUAAAUUUUCCUGUUUCUUCAAGCCCACUGUAUUACUUUAUUUGGUCACAGAUUAUCAAUUUAUGCAAAUGUACAUGCUUUUCAGAAUUAGAAAAAUAUUAAUGCUAGAGCUUUGAGAAAGAAAAGCAAGGAAAAAACACUUCAAAGCAGGAUUAAUAGCACAUACAGAAACCACAGUUCUUGCUUUAAUUAGAAAAAAAAUUCCACAGCUCAAACAUUAGUAGCAUAACAUUUGUAGCAAUACAAUACUACCCUCCAGCCAAAGUUCUGGAGAUGUUAUGCUUUAUGUUGCAUCUUAUUUCUACAUUUUAAAAAACAUUUUCACUGUCACACAAUGAAACUCCCAAACUGUCAUGAUUACAAAUAGGAAAGUUUUCAGGCAGCAUAAAUGUUUUCCACAUAAAAAAGGAGUUAAACAAAACAUAUUAUCACUCUAUAUAAAAUGAAAUGUCUCUUGUGAUUUUUGACAAUGACUUAUUCCAACUCUCCUUCCUAAAUUUAAGUCAUAUUAUAAAAAUACAUUAAGGUAAACAUGUCUUAACAGACAUUAAAAGCCUCAGUUCAAUAAAUAAUGCAUUUAAAAUUAUUUCUAUUAUUAAUAUAUAUGUUAAUGAAAUCUGAAUAAAGUGCUACUGGAUAUACAUAGCCUGUUACCAUUUAAUAAUUAUUUCCAUUUUUAAUUGUUCAUGCCAAGUAAUUGAUAAAAAGAAAACUCCAUAAACUCAAAAGACAAAAGGAAGUAUAUCACAUUAAAACAAAUACUUUUUGUAAAGUUUCAGAAGAGAAAAGGUAAGAGCUGCAUUAACUUCAAUGAUCUGGUUCUUUUUAGUACAGAAGACUGCAAGUCAGGCUACUUUAAUGAAUAGCAAGGAGAUAUAUGAAAUCCAAAGAACUUCCCAAUAGCGCUUAGCAGUCGUACUUAAGACUGAUAUACUGCUUCACAGUGCUUUACAGCUCUCUCUAAGUGGUUUACAGAGUCAGCAUAUUGCCCCCAACAAUCUGGGUUCCCAUUUUACCGACCUUGGAAGGAUAGAAGAAUGAGUCAACCUUGAGCCAGUGAGACUUGAACUGCUAAACUGCUGCUGACAGUUGGCAGUCAGCAGAAUUAGCUUGCAAUACUGCAUUAUAAUCACUGUGCCAGUGCAAUGCUGCACUUUCAAUCGCUUUCAAAGGAAAGGUAGGAUAUUUAUUUCCACCAGAAUACCUAAGAUUUCACUAGAUAUCAAAGCAUCCCUAUUAGUCUCUCGUUCUUCAUGCAAGUAUGCUUUUGUACUAUAUAAUCCCCAUGGAAAAUGUUAUUGCAUUAUUUUAAAUGAAUGAGCUAGGCCCUCUUUGGCUUUAAAUAAUGCAUUAUUAUUAAGUACGCAAAACUGUGAAAUCACAACUGGCAGUUCUUUAGCUGAUGUUGGCCUUCAUUCACAUCAACUUGUUCCAGAGAACCUAAGAUGUUAUAAUGUAUCAGCGAAUCCAAGGAGAUUUGUAACUGACACAGAAAUUUUGUCAAUGUGCAGAUUUUCUGAGUGCUGUCCAAGAUUUUUUGGUAUGGAACCCACUGUGUUGAUAAUCAUUGGGACCACCAUAGUUAGUUUAUGCCAUAGUCCUUCAACUUAUGUUUUCAAAACUUCAUACUUUAUGAUCCUCUCCAAUUCUUCAUCUUCUGUAUUUCCUGGUAUUGCCAACAUCAAUUUCCACACUUUCUUCUUUUCAAGCAGUUAAAUCUGGUACAUUAUGAGCCAAGAUUUUAUCAGUUUGUAUUCGGAAAUCCCACAAUAUUUUAACCUGCUCAUUUUUAUUACCUUUUCAACUCUAUGUUUCCACCAAUUUUUCAUUAUUGGCACAUGAUAAUUUUUGCAGAUGUUUUGAAUUUGGCAUUUUUAUCCACCUAGCGAGUCUUUUCCAUGGACCUGGGAUAGGUAGAUAUUGUUUGAUGGUGUUAAAAGGUAUUGUUGUAGAAUGUAACUGUUUCCAGUAAAAGCUGCCUUUUGCAAAUGGCUGAUGGUGAUUUUAUCAAUGCCAAUUAUUCAUUCAUUCAUUUUCAUUCAUUCAUUCAUUAGAUUUCUAUAUCUCCAACCUCAAUAAAUGACUCACAAUUCAAAACAUAUACUUAAAAUUUAAAAAACAAUUUAAAA